GAUGAACGCUGGCGGCGUGCCUAACACAUGCAAGUCGAACGCUCGCAAGAGAGUGGCGCACGGGUGAGUAACACGUAGCUAAUCUGCCCUCAAGACAAGGAUAACUGUAGGAAACUACUGCUAAUACUUGAUAAGCUUACGGACUGUAGAGGUCUAUAAGAAAGAUUUAUCGCUUGAGGAUGAGGCUGCGCGCCAUCAGCUAGUUGGUAAGGUAAUGGCUUACCAAGGCGACGACGGCUAGGGGACCUGAGAGGGUGACCCCCCACACUGGGACUGAGACACGGCCCAGACUCCUACGGGAGGCAGCAGUGAGGAAUAUUGCUCAAUGGGCGCAAGCCUGAAGCAGCGACGCCGCGUGGAUGAAGAAGGUUUUCGGACUGUAAAAUCUUUUUUCUGUGUGACGAGAGUGGACGGUAGCACAGGAAUAAGUCUCGGCUAACUACGUGCCAGCAGCCGCGGUAAU
rnacentral:rRNA from 1 species